CUUAGAUUUUUCCUCCACUCCCUGUGUUCUGUAAAGCAUGCACUUGAACAGGGAUGUGCUGAUGUGCGAUGAGGGUCAGAUUCAAGCUCUGUCCUCCUUAGCAGCCCCAUUAGCUGAAAGAGGGCUGCCCUCAAGUAAUUCUCUGCUCUACUCAACUGUAUGGGUAAGUGGCCUUGAAAUGCACAUAAACUGCCUGGGAAAUGCUCACCACUUGUCCUUAUUAGGGUGCUUUCAGCUUUCAGUGUAGGACCCGUCUUCACAAACUCUGCAAAUGCCAUGGCUUCGACUCACUGGAACAAGGCAUGCCCACGCUGGUGACCGGGCUCUGAGGCAUCUUCCUGAAACAGACCAAAAAACAGCCUCAGCUGGACAGUGGGCAACAUCAGCCUGCAUCAUUAACAGGCCAGCACAUACACGGAUAGAGCGUGCACCAUCCCCUCAGUAUUGUCCGCUGACGCUUUUCUGAAUGCAGCUGCAAUGUAGUAAUUACUCUAUCAAAAGGACAUCUACAGGCUUUGUACUACAGCAUCCAUAUUUCUGCUGCAACACCUGUGCCUACCUACGUUUGUGAUGCCAAUUACAAGCAAACAUUUUUUGGAUGGAGGUUCGUGCACCUGCUUCUCAACCGUGCAGAGGAUAAUAAGGCGGCUUUAUACUCAAAUAACACCUUCCAUCAGAGGAUCUCUGAGCUCUUUGAAAAUGUUACAUUCUGUCCCUCGGCAGCUUUUUGGCAAGAAGAAUCAAAUCUGGGCCCUCUGACUAAAAACACGCAGGCAUUCCCCUCUGGUCACAGCUGCAGCGAUGUUCUCCGCAUCUCAUUACGAGGCUGCCGAUGCUGGAAGGUCAGCGGUGCCACCAGCGCGGUGCCAGUCCCCAGCUCUUUGUCACACACGGGGGCAGUGAGGUGGCUCUGCCCACAGCUACCGGCAACGAACAAAGCAAGCAGGUCAGUAGCAGAGUGACCGGACCCAGAAGUUCCCUUGGCUGUGCCAGCCCAGGAAAUAAUAGCUGACAUUUCCAUUUGCAAAGCCUUCCAAGGGAAGGGGUAGGAUGAGAUUUUCAAAGCUGCUUAGGAGCUCUGGACAUCGCUGUCUUACCUGGCUUAACAAGGGCUGCACGUCCAUCCCUAGGCAGUGAAAAUGUGAGCUGUCCCGUUGGAUUUUCACUCGGUCCCAACUUGAGUGAGACCAAGUUGAUCCAAGGGUGGCGAAAGCCCCCUGUUCAGAGCGCGAGUGCUGCUGGUGGAGGCACAGGCCCUGUGUGUUCCAGCAGGAUGAGGAUCUCACGUUGGCGAUACCCAGCUUUGGGAAACUGCUUCAUUCUCGAUGCUGAAAUGACAAGAUACACAACAGCCCAGGCUGCCGAGGUGCCCUGUGGAGCCCUGCACACCAGCCUCACUUUUUCCCAUCUCCACACAUCCAACGGGAGGAUGCAGCUUUCUUCUACAUCCAGACCUUGCUGCUGAUGCUUCUGAAAAACUGGAGCUUACCUUGCUCCGAGGAGCCUGCUCUGGCUGAACACGGAGCUGCACGGCUGAUGCAGGCAGGCACAGAGGAUGUUCUCCUCUCGUCUUCCAGCAGGCUGGUUGUGACGACUUUAAAUAUUUCCUCCGGGCUUUGAGUCACCCAUCUCCGAAUGACACGCUGAGGUGUUCUGGUCCAUGCAUGCAUCACUUUUUUAAAGAGUUUAUUUUCCAGCUGACGACUGGUAACAUUAGUUCACUAUUUACUCUCAGGGAGGCAAAGGCAAAAAUUGAGUGUUUCACUUACAUGGUCACUAGCUGGCAAAACUCCUACAUUUGAUUUUCCUGAGGCUGUCUGCAUCAUUUUGAAGUUGCACUAGGAAGCCUGCUGGUCAGAACAUUUCCAGCACAACGUAUUGUCAUUAAAAUAUACUGUGCUGCUGUACCCAGCUUCUCCUAUAGAAUUAUAAUGGUUCGGAGGAUGGUUUCUGAUGGGAAAUUUUCUGAAGCUUGACUUUUGUGACCGAAGAGGGAGAAUGUGCUAGAAAGAGAGAGUGAUGGCAGAAACAGGGGGAGAAAAAAAGCAAAACUGUGUUUCAAGAAAUAAUUCUACAUUCAUUCUUCACUGGAAAGAGAAGAAAUCUCAAAUAUCUUUGUGAAACAAAAUCAAGGUUAAUUUCUUUUUUCUGGACAGGAACACUAGAACCUGAAGCAGCCAAUGUGAGUUCACUGAAAGCAGUUUGCAGUCUGAUGUUUGACUCCAUUCUUGCCCUAGACCAGCCUUCCUUUUCCAGCCAUCUACAGCAGAAAGCUUACACCAAGUACCACUUUCUGUACGGGAUCAAUACCUUGGCUUACAUGCAUCAAUCUGAAUAAAUCACCUACCUUCCCAGGAGUACCA
rnacentral:lncRNA from 1 species